ACCUGUGAGCAGAGUGAUUUUACUGUUACAUGUCCCAGUGAUGUUGUACUCUAUAUCAGCACUCAUGGAAUGCCUCUCGUCCAAUCAAAUUACUUGGUCGGAACUAACUGUUGUAUAACUAACAUUAACGUGGUGGAGCUUUAUUUUCUAGUCUCACACAGACACGCUUUGUAUAAAAUAUAACCACCCUAAAUUCUAACUAUUCUGUAUACCUUUUGCACCUUUUCGGUGCUUGCUGGUUAGCAACUAGAUAACGAGAUAAUUAGCUAAGCUAACAAGCCAGAAAAACUAGAUGUGCUAAUUAGCACUAAAAUGAUAACAGAAUUUCACUUACUGAAAAACUGGAGCACCAGUGUCUUGGACGCUCAGUUGAUACAAUUAUUUACACAGCAAGCCUUAUUAAUUGUCCGGUAUUUGUACAAAAAAAAAUGUCUGAAAGGCUCCAACAACUUAAAACACAGCAAGGAGGUCAAGUUGAGCGGCCUGAGGUGAGGCCAAGUUGACAACCUGUCAAUCAAACCGACCACGCCUUUAAUUAUGCAGAACUUUAAGAUUUAAGUGGGAUCACCCCCCCCCAUACAGUUAUCAUGAAUGAUGAAAAAAGCCAUAGAUUCCGUUUUUUUGCACCUGCCUGUAAAUAUGUUUAUUACAGCUGUAAAGUUGGGUAUUAUAAGAUGGGGGUCUAUGGGAAUUUGCUCUGUUCUGCAACCAGCCCCAAGUGGCCGGUUGAUGACUUGCAGUUUUUGGCACUUCUGCACUAGCUUCCCUCAUCAGCCCUGGAGAUUGCGCUGGGGUGAGGUUAUUGUAAACAGUGGAGUCGGAGCACACUCUCCUGGACAAACUAUGCAAUUACAUCAUUAUCAAGUCACCCUAAGCUUUGUUAUCAGCAUUAUAUAUUCUAUAGAAAAUGUUUUCAUAUGUGUGAUAGACAGGGGCGUCGCACCCGUGGGGGAUGGGGGUGUUUUGACACCCCCACUUUUACAGCCAGAUGAUUUCAGUUACGUCAGUCGGAGCUUUUGUCACUCACCGAUGGCUGACAUUGAAAAACAUUGACACACAACAGAGAGAAGAAGGAGGCAGAGAUGCCAAAAAGGAAGAGGCAGCAGCAGAAAAUUGACUUCUUUUUCAAGUCAAGUUGUCAUGUCAGUUUGUCCCAGUAAACAUCUGCUGCUGAUCUCUGUCAAAAGAAAUGGGAACUGUCCAACAAUGGCUCAACCUCUUCACCACCUCAGUGACCAAGUGCUCCCUUAUGUCUCCUUCUACCAGGUUGAACACUGUCACAUCGCAAUGCUUGAGCUGAGUGUGAAUAACAGGAAAUGCGGGGCUGUGAAAGGAAGAGACUCGAACACUGAAGUCCUGUUCCCUGGCUACCCCCCUUGAUCCCGCAUAUGAAUCCCAUGUAGGGUAUUGUCAGAAGAGGUAAAAUGCCAACUCUCUUUGUGUACAUGAAUUACUUUUUUUUGGCAGAAUGGUCAUUCAUUUAACUUGUUUUCUUCCAUUUAUUAUAGAUAGACUGCCACUGCUGUUUUGUUUGCAUUGUUUUGUUUAUUUUAUUUUGUUGAUUUGUUCAUUUAGUUUCUUUUUUAUUGUUGAUCCAGUAAUUCUAUUUUUUGAAUUAUUUCAGUAUUAUUUUGUCUUUUAUUAUAUUAGGUGCUUUCUGUUACUUUCUUUUGUCCGUUGUUGUGUUAGUCCUCCGGGGCCUUGAUUGAUUUCCCCCAAGAGACUUUUAAUAGAUUAUUGCAGCAGUACUAUGUGUUUUUAAUACAUUUCUUGUUUGUUUUUUUCUUUGCAUGAGUGCUGCAGGACUGGUGGAGGGAUUGGUGUUCAGAGUUUCUCACCCCAGCUUCACACCCCCUUAAAUGUGUGUGCGUGUAGUGGUAAUUUUGCACGUCCUUCACACUUUAUAGUUUUCCCUUGUAGUUUGGUUAUUUUGCUGUGUGUGUGUGCGCAUGUGUUGGGCACGGAGCGUGGUGAGUACUCUGCCCCCAUUUAACUUUCCCCUCCCCGACUACGGCUACGCCCAGCCGUCCUGUAGUGCUCCUGCCUGUAUUUUAAACCGUUUAGAUUAAUUAAAGUUUGGUUUAUUUUAAAUGUGUUGCUAAGUGCAAUAAAGAUUGUAAUCUUGGGGGAAGCCCUUUG